UACGGGGGGGGUAAGCGUUGUUCGGAAUUACUGGGCGUAAAGGGCUCGUAGGCGGCCAACUAAGUCAUACGUGAAAUCCCUCAGCUUAACUGGGGAACUGCGUGUGAUACUGGAUGGCUUGGAUUUGGGAGAGGGAUGCGGAAUUCCCGGUGUAGCGGUGAAAUGCGCAGAUAUCGGGAAGAACACCUAUGGCGAAGGCAGCUCUCUGGGACGGUACUGACGCUGAGACGCGAAAGCGUGGGGAGCGAACAGG
rnacentral:rRNA from 1 species